AGAUGUGAGGGUGAUCUGGCUGUGACAUCUAUCACCCCAUUGAUUGCCAAGGUUGAUUCGGCUGAUCUGGCUGGCUAGGCAGGUGUCCUCUUCCUCCCUCACUGCUCCAUGUGCGUCCCUCAUGAAGGUGCGUGCUCAGUGGAAGAGGAUGACGUCCCAGGUAUAGAAGAAGUGUACCCAGGUCUCCAGUCUUCGGUCCCGGGUAUAUGAUAGCUGAGUAGUCAUAUAUGCUAGCGAUGGAUGAGUGGAAGUGUAAUGUGGAAUACUUAUUCAGUGCAA
rnacentral:snRNA from 11 species